AGCAGCCGCGGUAAUUCCAGCUCCAAUAGCGUAUAUUAAAGUUGUUGCAGUUAAAAAGCUCGUAGUUGAAUUUCGGGGUUAGUAGGUUGGUCAUGCCUCUGGUAUGUACUGGUCUCACUGAUUCCUCCUUCCUGAUGAACCUUAAUGCCAUUAAUUUGGUGUUUUGGGGAAUUUGUACUGUUACUUUGAAAAAAUUAGAGUGUUUAAAGCAAGCUAACGCUUGAAUACAUUAGCAUGGAAUAAUGAAAUAGGACGUUCGAUCCUAUUUUGUUGGUUUCUAGGAUUGACGUAAUGAUUAAUAGGGAUAGUUGGGGGCAUUAGUAUUCAAUUGUCAGAGGUGAAAUUCUUGGAUUUAUUGAAGACUAACUACUGCGAAAGCAUUUGCCAAGGAUGUUUUCAUUAAUCAAGAACGAAAGUUAGGGGAUCGAAGACGAUCAGAUACCGUCGUAGUCUUAACCAUAAACUAUGCCGACUAGGGAUCGGAUGAUGUUAAUUUUUUAAUGACUCA
rnacentral:rRNA from 1 species